rnacentral:lncRNA from 1 species
CUUCCCACUAGCGCCCAGAAUGGAGGGGGUGUGGAGAGGAGGGGCCAGGCACUGGGCAGACUUCACUGCAGCUCACAGAGGGACGCUUUGGUAUCCAUCCGCUGCUGCCUCCAGCUCUGCUGCUGCCAACCUCCCGACGUUGCUGUCCCCCUCCCCGCGCAGCCCCGCAGCCCAGAGCCGCCCGCCAGUCCCAUACGGUGUAGCAGCGUGGCAGACACCUUAGUGAUCGGCACCUUAGGGCGCGCCAGGGACUACUGAGGCAGGCCGGCUCUAAGCCUCGCGUCAGACUGCGGCUGGCCCUGGCCCCGCCCACUUCCCUGUCGGAACUAAGGUGGGCCUGGGAGGGGGCGUGGAGCCCUUGCCCGCAGUAUUCCUCCGCCCCCCUUCCCGACACCCUCGGGGCGAAGCGAGUGGUUUUUGCUGCAGCGCAUCCUGCGCAGCAAGGGCGGGUUUGGUGCGGAGGUUUGGGAGCGGGACGCUCCUUUGCAAUUCUGGUCGCGCGGAAAGCGGAAAGCAGAAAGCAGAAAGCGGAAAGCAGAAAGCAGAAAGCAGAAAGCGGUGGGAGCCGAGUGCGGAGCUGCCAGAGGAGAGGAGAGAACAGCCCGGCAGGGAGGAGGCGAGCCGGCCGUAGCCGGUCCCGGAGAGAGGUGCGCAAUAUCUCUGGACCCCUGGCGGUGAGGAGGGGGUGAGCGGCGCGGGUCGGCCCUGGGCAGAGGGAGGCCAGAGAGGCUGUGUGGGGUCGUCCUGAGGCCAGCCGCUGGGACUGCUCUCCGGCCCGCUUCCCAGGCGCCCGCGCCCAGCCCUCCACGGUGUCUGCCUGGAGAGGGCCGUGGCGGGGGGUGGGGGGGUGGGGGUGGGGCCGCUGCGGAAGAAAUGGCGGCGCUGCAGAUGGGGCCGGGGGCAUCUGUGUAGGCCGCCGGGAAGACGUGGGGCUGGCGUGCGAACUCCGUGUCCAGCCCGGAGGGCG